GGGGAGUCACAGCCACUGCCACGGAAAGAAGCUAUAAGCCCUUUGUACCGCAGGGGGUUCUGGGAAGAGUAGUCGAGGGACGGUGGCCGACAGGGCACUUCCGCCCUGGGAGGGCGAAGCCGCCUUCAUCGGUACCUUGUGGGAGAAGCGCUGGGUUCCUGGAAGCUUGUGAGCCCGGGGUGAGUUCAGCGCUGCAGCGUCGCCGGCCCUUCUCUGACGCCUGCGCGAAGCAGGGCCUUUAGGAUUCCUCUUGACUUUUCACUACCCCACCCCACCCCCUUUUUAAAAGAAGGGCUGGCCUCACUCCCAGCUCGGGCCUGUGAUUGUCCUCCGUGAUUUAUCCUGGACCAGAGACAAAAUUGUGAUCUCUCCCAGCCUCCUUUCCUGUCUCUGCCCCAAGUUCUCAGAGGGUGCAGAGGAGAAGUGACCCCAGCGUCCUGCUAACUGGAUGAGCGGACCUAGGCCGGCUGACUCCAUUUUGUUCUGUGUCCUCCAUCUUGAGUGACUAUGUCCCCGACAUGGCCCCCUUUCUGGGAGAACCACAGAAAGAAAUUCCCGCUCAAACCUCAGACCACGCCUACUCCCCUGGAGUAACUUCCUGCUCACCCAUUCAAACUUCCCGUUCAAAUCACACAUGGCAACCUGUGCAACGGGACUAUGACCCUUCCCCAGCCUCGGCUAAGGCCAUGACCAUCACCCCACCAACUGCCACUAGAUCCCUAUAAAACCUUUGUGCUUUUGAAACUCGCUGUCUCUCCGGCAUCUCACCGCUGUGUCAGUGCAGGUAGGGGAUUGAGCUCGAGCUAGCUCAAAUAAAGGCUCUUUGCUUUUGUAUUGGA